GACCCCAGGUCAGGCGGGGUUACCCGCUGAAUUUAAGCAUAUCAAUAAGC
rnacentral:rRNA from 1 species